rnacentral:rRNA from 1 species
UAGCCCAAGAGAUCGGGAUAACACCUGGAAACAGAUGCUAAUACCGGAUAACAACAGAUGAUGCCUAUCAACUGUUUAAAAGAUGGUUCUGCUAUCACUCUUGGAUGGACCUGCGGUGCAUUAGCUAGUUGGUAGGGUAACGGCCUACCAAGGCGAUGAUGCAUAGCCGAGUUGAGAGACUGAUCGGCCACAUUGGGACUGAGACACGGCCCAAACUCCUACGGGAGGCAGCAGAC